rnacentral:rRNA from 1 species
AGAGUUUGAUCCUGGCUCAGAACGAACGCUGGCGGCAGGCCUAACACAUGCAAGUCGAGCGCACCCUUCGGGGCGAGCGGCGGACGGGUUAGUAACGCGUGGGAAUAUACCCUUCACUACGGAAUAGCCUCGGGAAACUGAGAGUAAUACCGUAUACGCCCUUCGGGGGAAAGAUUUAUCGGUGAUGGAUUAGCCCGCGUCUGAUUAGAUAGUUGGUGGGGUAAUGGCCUACCAAGUCUACGAUCAGUAGCUGGUUUUAGAGGAUGAUCAGCAACACUGGGACUGAGGCACGGCCCAGACUCCUACGGGAGGCAGCAGUGGGGAAUCUUAGACAAUGGGCGAAAGCCUGAUCUAGCCAUGCCGCGUGUGUGAUGAAGGCCUUAGGGUCGUAAAGCACUUUCGCCAGGGAUGAUAAUGACAGUACCUGGUAAAGAAACCCCGGCUAACUCCGUGCCAGCAGCCGCGGUAAUACGGAGGGGGUUAGCGUUGUUCGGAAUUACUGGGCGUAAAGCGCACGUAGGCGGAUCAGAAAGUUGGGGGUGAAAUCCCAGGGCUCAACCCUGGAACUGCCCUCAAAACUCCUGGUCUUGAGUUCGAGAGAGGUGAGUGGAAUUCCAAGUGUAGAGGUGAAAUUCGUAGAUAUUUGGAGGAACACCAGUGGCGAAGGCGGCUCACUGGCUCGAUACUGACGCUGAGGUGCGAAAGUGUGGGGAGCAAACAGGAUUAGAUACCCUGGUAGUCCACACCGUAAACGAUGAAUGCCAGACGUCGGGCAGUAUACUGUUCGGUGUCACACCUAACGGAUUAAGCAUUCCGCCUGGGGAGUACGGUCGCAAGAUUAAAACUCAAAGGAAUUGACGGGGGCCCGCACAAGCGGUGGAGCAUGUGGUUUAAUUCGGAGCAACGCGCAGAACCUUACCAACCCUUGACAUCCUAGGACAACUCCAGAGAUGGAGCCUUCCUUCGGGACCUAGUGACAGGUGCUGCAUGGCUGUCGUCAGCUCGUGUCGUGAGAUGUUCGGUUAAGUCCGGCAACGAGCGCAACCCACAUCUUUAGUUGCCAGCAGGUUAAGCUGGGCACUCUAAAGAAACUGCCCGUGAUAAGCGGGAGGAAGGUGUGGAUGACGUCAAGUCCUCAUGGCCCUUACGGGUUGGGCUACACACGUGCUACAAUGGUGGUGACAAUGGGUUAAUCCCAAAAAACCAUCUCAGUUCGGAUUGGGGUCUGCAACUCGACCCCAUGAAGUCGGAAUCGCUAGUAAUCGCGUAACAGCAUGACGCGGUGAAUACGUUCCCGGGCCUUGUACACACCGCCCGUCACACCAUGGGAGUUGGGUUUACCCGAAGGCCGUGCGCCAACCU